rnacentral:rRNA from 1 species
CCCUUAGAUGUUCUGGGCCGCACGCGCGCUACACUGACGAAUGCAACGAGCUUAUAACCUUGGCCGAAAGGUCUGGGUAAUCUCCAAAUUUCGUCGUGAUGGGGAUAGAUUAUUGCAAUUAUUAAUCUUCAACGAGGAAUGCCUAGUAAGCGCAGGUCAUUAGCCUGCGCUGAUUAAGUCCCUGCCCUUUGUACACACCGCCCGUCGCUCCUACCGAUUUCGAGUGGUCCGGCGAAUCUUUCGGACUGCGCGCGGCCUUGAGUCGUGUCGCGGAAAGUCAGGUGAACCUUAUCACUUAGAGGAAGGAGAAGUCGUAACA